rnacentral:tRNA from 1 species
GGUGGCUCAGUGGAAGAGUAUUUGCCUUGCAUGCAUGAGGCCCUGGGUUCAAUUCCUCAGCACCA